GUAGUGGCGAACGAAAAGGAAUGAGCCCAGCGCAGAACGUUCCGGGGCACUCGCCCUGAGAAUGAAUGUUGCGUUAAGGAUAUUGGCAUACACCCAUGGCAGUUACACUUUGCUAAGUCAGCCUCGAAUGGUUCUCGUGAAGCCGGUAACACGGUGAGACUCCAGGGAGGGUGUUAGACCCGUGUGAAGGUGCAAUCUGCUUGGGCAAGCCGAUAUCCCGAGAGUCGCGUUGUUUGAACAUGCAGCGCUAAGCAGGUCGUAGACUCGAUCUAAGGCUAAAUAUGUCCACAGAACCGAUAGUUAACAAGUACCGUGAGGGAAAGUUGAAAAGCACUCCGUAACGGAGAGUCAAAAGACCGUGAAACCACUCAGAGUAUAAGCCAAUGGUGUCUGGAAGGUCCUGUGCUUACAUCUUGGUGUCAAGGACUCAUGCGAACCUCAGCACUUGCGGGAGCAAUCUCCGUUGCUUUGGUAAGCUUGUCCGCUGAAGCACUCCGUUGACCCACCUGGCUCGUUGUGAGGUGUCCUGAGAGCAAAGCGAAGUGUUAAGAUUGGCUUGGAGUUGGGCGUGGGCGUCUCGAUGCCUUUCGCACUCUCCUUUUCGAGCACUUCUUCAGUUCUAUUCGCACAAAGUGUGGUAGUCUUGGAGUGUGCGCUGCUUGACGCUCUCUGGAACCAUCCUCUGCGACGAAGCUUCAAUGCCUUAGUGAGCGGCCGUCUUCCUCCUCGGGAGUCGGUACAUUGGCGCGGCUUGCACACUGUCGGUGCUCCGCUGUUCAACUCUGGCGCAAGGUGUUACGUCCGAUACCAUUGGUCACGUCUCGAAACACGGGCCAAGGAGUAUAGCGUGUGUGCAAGUCUAAGGGUUCCACAAAACCUGGAGGCGUAGUGAAAGCGAGUUAUGGUGUCUCACUGGACUGAUGGAGAAGGCAGUGAUGCGUGAUCCCGCAAGUCCCGGACUCGUCGUCUGCACUGCUUCGGUUGUGUUAGCGCGAGCACCGCAGAGCACAUACGCUAUGACCCGAAAGAUAGUGAACUAUGCUUGGCGAGGGUGAAGCCCCAGGAAACUGGGGUGGAGGCCCGUAGCCGUUGUGACGUGCAAAUCCA
rnacentral:rRNA from 1 species